rnacentral:misc_RNA from 1 species
GAUUUUUCUGAGUGCUUAAAACCAUUCCACUGUGGACUCCUGUCAAAUCUUAGUUAUCCUUUCUGGGAUGAUAGCCGAUCUGAAAUCUGUGGUUUUCUAGGGUUGAAGCUCCGGUGCCAAGAAGGUAAGCGCCCUGUUAUAUCUAUAAAUAAUGAAGAAUUUUAUGUAAAGUCCGUAGAUCAACCCCAACAUGUGAUGACCAUUGCUCUAUGGGAGAAUGUUUGUCCUCUUGAUAAUAUCUCCCAAAUUCCUGACACAAGUCUAAAC